rnacentral:rRNA from 1 species
GAUGAACGCUGGCGGCGUGCCUAAUACAUGCAAGUCGAGCGGAAGGACGCGAACCUUUCCUCUCUGAUGUUAGCGGCGGACGUGUUACUAACAAGUGUACCACCUACCUAUAAGUAUCGCAUCAAUACGGGUACUCGUAGCUCAUAUCGGCUGAUAAUUUGAACCGCAUGGUUCACAAGUGAAUGUCGCUUUUCCUGUUUCUUACAGAUGAUUCCGCGUUGCAUUAGCUAGUUGGUAAGGUAACGGCUUACCAAGGCGACGAUGCAUAGCUGACCUGAGAGGAUGAUCAGCCACACUGGGACUGAGACACGGUCCAGACUCCUACGGGAGGCAGCAAUGGGGAAUCUUCGACAAUGGGCGAAAGCCUGACGGAGCAACGCCGCGUGAGUGAAGAAGGUCUUCGGAUUGUAAAACGCUUUUAGUAGGAAAGAACAGGUGUGUAAGAAACUGGGCACAUCUUGACGGUACCUAAUCAGAAAGCCACGGCUAACUACGUG